rnacentral:rRNA from 1 species
UAUGUAGGGUGCAAGCGUUGUCCGGAAUUAUUGGGCGUAAAGAGCUCGUAGGCGGUUUGUCGCGUCUGCUGUGAAGACUCGGGGCUCAACUCCGAGCUUGCAGUGGGUACGGGCAGACUAGAGGUAGGUAGGGGAGAAUGGAAUUCCCGGUGUAGCGGUGAAAUGCGCAGAUAUCGGGAGGAACACCGGUGGCGAAGGCGGCGUUCUGGACUGCAACUGACACUGAGACGCGAAAGCGUGGGUAGCAAACAGG